rfam:Ailuropoda melanoleuca scaffold1408_102, whole genome shotgun sequence.
ACCUGGCUGGCUCAGUCAGUAGAGCUCAUGACUCCUGAUCUUGGGGUUGUGAGUUCGAGCCCCAUGUUGGGGA